rnacentral:lncRNA from 1 species
GCACUUUAUGAUAUGGACACCUUUGCUACUACAGCUGUCGUACUCGUCUCCUAUUUCAAAGAAGAAGAAAACCCUCGUAUAAAUACCUCUGCAUCACCACACAUUACAUCCUAUAAACUCAAACAAAAACAAAAUCCUCUGCUGCUGAUAUCUUAUUACCUCCUUCUCAAUGGCUCAUAAUUACCGUUUUGCCAUCUUCCUCACUUUACUCUCUGCCAUCGCUGGUCUUUCCGCCGGCGCCUUGGUCGAGGAGCAGCCGCUUGUUCUGAAAUACCACAACGGUGUUCUCUUGAAAGGAAACGUAACCG